rnacentral:misc_RNA from 1 species
GAUGAAGAACGCAGCGAAAUGCGAUAAGUAAUGCGAAUUGCAAAUUCAGUGAAUCAUCGAGUCUUUGAACGCACAUUGCGCCCCCUGGUAUUCCGGGGGGCAUGCCUGUCCGAGCGUCAUUGCUGCCCUCAAGCACGGCUUGUGUGUUGGGCCCCGUCCUCCGAUCCCGGGGGACGGGCCCGAAAGGCAGCGGCGGCACCGCGUCCGGUCCUCGAGCGUAUGGGGCUUUGUCACCCGCUCUGUAGGCCCGGCCGGCGCUUGCCGAUCAACCCAAAUUUUUAUCCAGGUUGACCUCGGAUCAGGUAGGGAUACCCGCUGAACUUAAGCAUAUCAAUAAGCGGAGGA